UAGGUAAAACCAGCUAAGUCUGUGACAAGCAGGUAAAAUCUUGGUUAAUUGUGUGAUUCUGCUAUUUUCUCAUAUACUCGGAAGCCUUAUUUUUCCUAUGUAAGUUACAGUGAUUGCUGUUGACAUGUCUUGUUCAGAUGGCACUUCCAAAGGUGGUUGUAUUAGUGGAAGUUUUGUAGAUCAAGAGUUGGUCAUUCAGACAUUUAAGGUAAUUUAUGUCAUCUAAAGAUUCUCCUGGAAGCAAGUUGUCCAGUGGAUGCGGCAGGGAUAGUGAGCGUAGAGCAAACUUGCAGUGCUGCAUUGGCAUUGCUUGCUUCAUCCAUGAUUCAUCCUCAUCCAGUAGAGAAAUCAUCAUGUCGCUGGAAAGCAUAUAUCUCAAAGUUGAGUAUGUUUGAUUCACAGCAACAAGAAGCUAUAAGAGUUCCCAUAAGAUCUCCUCUCCAUUGAUCUCUGUUGAAGAAGCCAAUGGAAUAUGGGGUCUCGAUCUCCGAUUGGGGGGGGAUGAACGUUCUUGCAAUUCUUGGAAUAUGUUCGUAUACGUGGUUUUGUUCUAAUUUCUUCUUUAAAGUAAAUUUUUGUGUAUAAUUAUGUGUUUAGAACAGAUACUAGGUGGAAUAGGAAUAAUGUGAAGUUUAACCGGAAUCGAGGUGGGUGUAAAUGUAAAUAUCUUAUAAUUGUAUGUAUUACUAAUAAAAUAUAUUAAGCAUCAUUUAUCUUAUC